rfam:Roseovarius nanhaiticus strain DSM 29590 genome assembly, contig: Ga0104494_103
UUCAUGGGGACGACAGCGACUUCCCCGUGAGGCUUUGGCCCAAUGUCGCAUCCUGAACUCGAUUGCUCAGAGGAUGCCAUG